UCCGCAGAGCAAAAUAAAAGGCACUAUCUGGGCAGAAAUUGACGAUCUCAAGGCAUUCAAAGUUCUGGAUCUUGACGAAUUCCAGCAGACGUUCUCAGCUUACCAAAGGCCACAAAAAGAAACUGAUGAUGACAGUGCCAUUGUAAGGAGAGUCAAAGAGCUCUCUGUGAUCGAUGGUCGCAGAGCG